rnacentral:rRNA from 1 species
UUUAUCGGAGAGUUUGAUCCUGGCUCAGGACGAACGCUGGCGGCGUGCCUAAUACAUGCAAGUCGAGCGGACAGAUGGGAGCUUGCUCCCUGAUGUUAGCGGCGGACGGGUGAGUAACACGUGGGUAACCUGCCUGUAAGACUGGGAUAACUCCGGGAAACCGGGGCUAAUACCGGAUGGUUGUCUGGACCGCAUGGUUCAGACAUAAAAGGUGGCUUCGGCUACCACUUACAGAUGGACCCGCGGCGCAUUAGCUAGUUGGUGAGGUAACGGCUCACCAAGGCGACGAUGCGUAGCCGACCUGAGAGGGUGAUCGGCCACACUGGGACUGAGACACGGCCCAGACUCCUACGGGAGGCAGCAGUAGGGAAUCUUCCGCAAUGGACGAAAGUCUGACGGAGCAACGCCGCGUGAGUGAUGAAGGUUUUCGGAUCGUAAAGCUCUGUUGUUAGG